GGGUUAGUAGGUUGGUCAUGCCUCUGGUAUGUACUGAUCUCACUGAUUCCUCCUUCCUGAUGAGCCGUAAUGCCAUUAAUUUGGUGUUGCGGGGAAUUUGGACUGUUACUUUGAAAAAAUUAGAGUGUUUAAAGCAAGCUAACGCUUGAAUACAUUAGCAUGGAAUAAUGAAAUAGGACGUUCGAUCCUAUUUUGUUGGUUUCUGGGACCGUAGCA
rnacentral:rRNA from 1 species